rnacentral:rRNA from 1 species
AAUCUUCCGCAAUGGACGAAAGUCGGACGGAGCGAUGCCGCGUGAGCGAUGAAGGUCUUCGGAGCGUAAAACUCUGUCGUUAGGGAGGAACAAGUAUCGGCGUAAUAUGCCGGUACAUUGACGGUACCUAACCAGAAAGCCCCGGCUAACUACGUGCCAGCAGCCGCGGUAAUACGAAGGGGGCAAGCGUUGUCCGGAAUUAUUGGGCGUAAAGAGCACGUAGGCGGUUAUUUAAGUCUGAUGUGAAAUCUUGUGGCUUAACCACAAGCGGUCAUUGGAAACUGGAUAACUUGAGUACAGAAGAGGAGAGUGGAAUUCCACGUGUAGCGGUGAAAUGCGUAGAGAUGUGGAGGAACACCAGUGGCGAAGGCGGCUCUCUGGUCUGUAACUGACGCUGAGGUGCGAAAGCGUGGGUAGCGAACA